GGGCCUGUAGCUCAGUGGUAGAGCGCUCCCUUCGCAUGGGAGAGGUCGCGGUUUCGAUUACCUCUAGGUCCA